rnacentral:misc_RNA from 1 species
UCCAGCUUGUCGCUGGCGGUCUCCUGAGAGUGCCGCCUUUUCGGCAUGGCAACACAGGACAAGGGUUGCGCUCGUUGCGGGACUUAACCCAACAUCUCACGACACGAGCUGACGACAGCCAUGCAGCACCUCGGAUUCAGUCCCUUGCGGGAAAGGAAGUGUUUCCACCUCCGGUCCAAACCCGUUCGAGCCCAGGUAAGGUUCUUCGCGUUGCGUCGAAUUAAACCACAUGCUCCACCGCUUGUGCGGGCCCCCGUCAAUUCUUUUGAGUUUUAGCCUUGCGGCCGUACUCCCCAGGCGGAGCGCUUAACGCGUUAGCUUCGGCACCUCAGGGGUCAAUACCCAAAGCACCUAGCGCUCAUCGUUUACGGCGUGGACUAC